rnacentral:tRNA from 1 species
AGUUAAUGAACUUGUUAUAAGUGUAUAUUUUGAAAGUAUAAAAAAGAGUUGAUCCUCUAUUAACUU